CUGUAGUCGACGGGUGCUUCUUCUUCGGAAGAUGUAACCCGGCGGACGGCUCAGUAACACGUGGAUAACUUGCCCUUGGGUCCGGGAUAACCCCUGAGAAAUUGGGGACAAUACCGGAUAGGGCAUCGAUUGCUGGAAUGCGCGAUGUCCAAAAGCUGAGGCGCCCAAGGAUAGGUCUGCGGCCGAUUAGGUUGUUGUUGAUGUAAUGGAUCAACAAGCCUGCAAUCGGUACGGGUUGUGAGAGCAAGAGCCCGGAGAUGGGUUCUGAGAAAAGAACCCAGGUCCUACGGGACGCAUCAGGCGCGAAAACUUUACAAUGUGCGAAAGCACGAUAAGGGAACUCUGAGUGCCUCCUAUGGAGGCUGUUCAGGUGUCUAAAAAGCACUUGAAGUAAGGGCUGGGUAAGACCGGUGCCAGCCGCCGCGGUAACACCGGCAGCCCAAGUGGUAGCCACGAUUAUUGGGUCUAAAGCGUCCGUAGCCGGCCAGGUAAGUUCUUUGGGAAAUUUAACCGCUCAACGGUUAAGCUUUCAGGGAAUACUGCUUGGCUUGGGACCGGGAGAGGUCAGAGGUACUUCAAGGGUAGGGGUGAAAUCCGUUAAUCCUUGAGGGACCACCA
rnacentral:rRNA from 1 species